GCCCAGAUAGCUCAGUUGGUAGAGCAGAGGACUGAAAAUCCUCGUGU
rnacentral:tRNA from 1 species